AUCAGAUCUAAGCUGGUAAUUAAGUUUAGAAGAAUUCAUGCUGGUACCCCAUCUUUUGGACUCUAAUGUUCAGAGUGGGAUUUAUACCAUGAGACAAGCAAGGGAAAGUGCA